rnacentral:rRNA from 1 species
CCUUAUUGGAGAGUUUGAUCCUGGCUCAGGACGAACGCUGGCGGCGUGCUUAACACAUGCAAGUCGAGCGGUAAGGCCCUUCGGGGUACACGAGCGGCGAACGGGUGAGUAACACGUGGGUAACCUGCCCUGUACUCUGGGAUAAGCCCGGGAAACUGGGUCUAAUACCG